rnacentral:rRNA from 1 species
AGCCUGAUGCAGCGACGCCGCGUGAGGGAUGACGGCCUUCGGGUUGUAAACCUUACUCGACUCCGACGAAGCGAGAGUGACGGUAGGAGUAUAAGAAGCACCGGCCAACUACGUGCCAGCAGCCGCGGUAAUACGUAGGGUGCGAGCGUUGUCCGGAAUUACUGGGCGUAAAGAGCUUGUAGGCGGCUUGUCGCGUCGAUCGUGAAAACUCGGGGCUCAACCCCGAGCUUGCGGUCGAUACGGGCAGGCUUGAGUACUUCAGGGGAGACUGGAAUUCCUGGUGUAGCGGUGAAAUGCGCAGAUAUCAGGAGGAACACCGGUGGCGAAGGCGGGUCUCUGGGAAGUAACUGACGCUGAGAAGCGAAAGCGUGGGUAGCGAACAGGAUUAGAUACCCUGGUAGUCCACGCCGUAAACGGUGGGUACUAGGUGUGGGUUUCCUUCCACGGGAUCCGUGCCGUAGCUAACGCAUUAAGUACCCCGCCUGGGGAGUACGGCCGCAAGGCUAAAACUCAAAGAAAUUG